rnacentral:rRNA from 1 species
AACGAACGCUGGCGGCAGGCCUAACACAUGCAAGUCGAGCGCCCCGCAAGGGGAGCGGCGGACGGGUGAGUAACGCGUGGGAAUUUUCCUCAAGGUACGGAACAACUCAGGGAAACUUGGGCUAAUACCGUAUGAUGUCUAGCGACCAAAGAUUUAUCGCCUUGGGAUAAGCCCGCGUCAGAUUAGGUAGUUGGUGGGGUAACGGCCUACCAAGCCUGCGAUCUGUAGCUGGUCUGAGAGGACGAUCAGCCACACUGGGACUGAGACACGGCCCAGACUCCUACGGGAGGCAGCAGUGGGGAAUCUUGCGCAAUGGGCGAAAGCCUGACGCAGCCAUGCCGCGUGAAUGAUGAAGGUCUUAGGAUUGUAAAGUUCUUUCGCCCGUGACGAUGAUGACGGUAACGGGAGAAGAAGCCCCGGCUAACUUCGUGCCAGCCGCCGCUGUAAG